GCGUUCUCCAGCUGGGUCAGCCGUGGCCCCCGCCUCGGGCUGGAGUCCGGCAGGCAACUGCUGCAGAAACGGAGGCAGAGGCAGGUGGAGGAGCCGCCUCCAGGCGGAGGAGCCCCAGCAAGAUGGGGCGCUGGAGUUGAGCUCAGGCUGUCAGCCCCAGAAUCCAAGCUCCUUGCCCUCGUGCUAACCCAGCCUCACUAACUGGCAGCUGGGGGCACCCUCCCAGCCUGCCAGGGACACCACACUGGGCACACACCACUUCGGCUGCAGGACCCCAUCCUCACUGGCUGUGGC
rnacentral:lncRNA from 1 species